AUUGAACGCUGGCGGCAGGCCUAACACAUGCAAGUCGAACGGUAGCACAGGAGAGCUUGCUCUCUGGGUGACGAGUGGCGGACGGGUGAGUAAUGCAUGGGGAGCUGCCCAAUCGAGGGGGAUACCAGCUGGAAACGGCUGCUAAUACCGCAUACGCCCUGAGGGGGAAAGGUGGGGACCUUCGGGCCUACCGCGAUUGGAUGCACCCAUGUGGGAUUAGCUAGUUGGUGAGGUAACGGCUCACCAAGGCGACGAUCUCUAGCUGGUCUGAGAGGAUGACCAGCCACACUGGAACUGAGACACGGUCCAGACUCCUACGGGAGGCAGCAGUGGGGAAUAUUGCACAAUGGGGGGAAACUCUGACCCAGCGACGCCGCGUGAGGGAUGAAGGCCUUCGGUUGUAACCUCUUCAGUAGGGAAGAAGCGAAGUGACGGUACCUACAGAAGAAGCACCGGCUAACUAUGUGCCAGC
rnacentral:rRNA from 1 species